rnacentral:lncRNA from 1 species
UUACCGGAACUAAGAAGCAACACCGGAAAGAAACAAACAACAUGGUAAACAACCAUCACAUAGACAUGGCACGAUGCACAACCAAGUAUGAUGCAUGUCCGGUUUAAAGAGGCAUGGCAUGGCAAAUGCAACCAAACAAUACUACAAGUUAAGUGGAGAUCAAUAUGCAACGAGUUGCAUAUUAACAAAACACCACAUCAAAUAUUUAGUUCUCUCUCGUUUAAGCUACCAAACAAUAUUAAAUGUUAUUAAACAUGGCAAGGGGUGAAGCACGAGAAAAACUACCUAUCUAGACAAGUUUAAAUGAGGCCGGAAUAACAAACAACAAUUCCGGAAAAUCCCCAUAUGCAAAUUUUAGAUUCGGUACUGUUCUGCCCUAAACACAAUUUUAGAGUUGUUAAACAGGAAAAUAAAGUGGACCAUGUUAAUCUAGGCAUUUUUCCACCCCAUUUACAUAUAAAGUUUAUUUAGAAUGGAGCUACGGUUAUUUAGUUAUGAAUAAAGCAAUUUAACAUGGCAUUAUGCAAAAUUAAUGCAAACAGCAAUUUAAACAUUUUAAACAUGGAUGAAAGUGACAUAUUAUUAAUCUACACAAUUUUCUGAGCAUUUUACAUACAUAAAACAUUUUAAUCCGAUGCACGGUUUAAGAGAUAUUAAAUGCAUGAUGCUUAGGGGGUUUUCUGUAAAACUAAAAACUCCUGGAUAAAUUAGACAAAUUCGCAGACGAUAAAAAAAACCACAUCGGGCCGGAUCUAGCUGGCCCAAGAGUGCACAGGGGAAGGGCUGGGGGGACUGCUCACCAAGCUGGGCUAGGCCCAGAUCGGUGGAGGUGGAAGCUGCUCACAUUGGGCUUCAGCCCAGGACGGUGGCGCGGCUGGGCUGGGCCUUGGGGAGGCAAGGCCCACAAGGGCAUCCUUCACAGUCAACGAAGGCCUCGGGCGCUCCUCGUCCUCCCCGACAGGAAGUCGAGCGAGGCCAUGGCGCGGUGCUGGCGAGGACUGAUGGCGGCUCCGGUGAUGGUAGGACGACGAUGGCGAGGCGACAAAGGGCGGCAGAGGGGUGGAUCCAGGCGCGGACGGGCGUCGGGGUCCCGUUUCUGGCCGGAUCGAGGCGGAGGGCAGUGUCCCAUGGACUCCGGCGUGACGUGGGAAGGCAGGGGACCGACGGGGAGGUCCGGGCGAUGGCGCGGGUGAAGUCUGGCGAGGUGGCGAGGGGAGACUGUGGCGGGGGCGCGCUCCUGCGAGGCCCGGUCGCCGGAGUCAGCCGGCAGCAAGGCGGCGGAGCUCUGGAUCGGGAGCUCCUCUCCCGAUCUGGAGCUUGGGGAGCAGGGGCGACGCGGUGCGGGCGCCUUGGGCACCUCGGGCCCAGAUCGGCCCGGGGCGGGCCUGGGACGGGCCUGCGGCGAAGUGGGGAUGCAGGGGAGGCGACGUGGCGGGGCUUGAGUGGCUGCGGGAGGCGGGGAAGGCGACAUGGCGGCGCCCGGUUGGCCGGGGCAACGUCUCAGGUGGCGGCGCAGCCUCUGGGUCGGCGACAAGUGGCGGCGAGGGAGUGGGGCAGCGCGGAUUUUGAGGAGGGGGAGGCUAGAGGUAGGUGGAGGGGGGUUAGGCUGCCCAAAAUGGACAAGGGGUGUUCAUAUAUAGCAAAAUUGCUAGGGUUUGGGGGUUAGGAGGGGUUUCGGGACCCUCGGAUCGCGAUCCGACGAUUCCGGACGGAGGGGAAGGUUAGGUGGGCUGCAAGAGGGAUUAGUGGGCUGUGUAGAGGGGGUUGAGCUGAGAGAAGAGGGGAGAAAUGCAGCCCGGCAACUGUUUCAGAGACCGAAACGUCCGACGAAUAUACCGACUAUAUCGCGGUUAUUUAUUUAACGGUUGGGCAGUCAAACGAACUCCGAAUGCGAUGAAACUUGGCAGACGCUCUGUCUACACUAUAAUAAGACCGCACGACAAGUUUCAACCCAUUCCGAGAACAUUCUUAUGCCACUUAUAAAAUAAUAUUCGGAGGUGCCGCGGGCGCGUGCGAGUGUGUCCGGACUCGGAACGGACAAUGGAGAGAAACGGCGGAACCCGAACGGAUGCAAGUUUUAUGAAAACGAUGCCGAUGCAAUGCGAAUGAUGACAUGAGAUGAGAUGCAUAACAAGAACAAAAUGCAAAACAAACGACAAAAACCCAACCACGAAGGAAAUAUCAUAUAGCAUCUCCAGAAAAGGCAAGAGUCGGAGUUAUGAAUAUGGAAAGUUGUAUCCGGGGCGUUACACACUGCCCCCUACUAUUCCCACCGCCGGCCAGGCCCUGCGGCGACGGCAGCCUCACACCGCAGCCGAACCAGUGAACCCUCGUACUCCUCUCCACGCGGGCUUCCAUUGCCGCGUCUUCCCCGGCUCCGCAUCAUCCCCUUCCUAGGCCUCGUCGUCGUCCACCGCUGUGGUGCUCUCCGUGCGGCGUGGUCAACGUGGUCAAGGAACGACUUCCAUCGGAAGAGUACUGUACGUGGAGAGGCUGACAGCUGGGUCCACGGCCACAGCCCAGUCUUUUUGUGAUUUGCCAAGUAAGUCACUUUGUCAGGCCUGUUGGGCUGCAAAUCUUUCAAGACGAGGAGAGCUUUCAUUCAGCUGGCCGAGAAAAUGGCCCAUCAGUAAUGAGAAAUGGGUUGUACAUUUUUAAAACACAUCAAACCGGCAAUUAGUUUCAAAUAUAUUUUUUUCAUUUCAAAAUUUUAAAUUACAUUAAUUUUUAUGUGUGGAGAAUUUGUUGGAUUUUAUAUUGAUAUACAUUUAUUUUUAAAAUUAGUUUGAAUGUGAGUCAAAAUUUUGGGAUUAAAAACAGUUCGGACCGCACCAAAAUAUGCAAAAUUUCGUAUAAUUUUUUAACCGUGGCCACAAUAUGGGCUGUCAUGCUAACAAAAAGAAUAUGGGCUUAAAAAAAACCUUAAGAAUUAGCAAAUGGGCAGUAAAUUAUUAGAAAUAAUGGCAGAUGGGCCGUAUGCUGUUUUCCACAGAUUUGAGACUUUCCUAAAAAAAGAUUGACGCACAAGCAGUGACGGUUGGAUGUCCAUCCAACGGCCAUCAAUCUGUGCUCUUCCUGCUCCAGCCGCUCAAACAAGCGCCAGCGCGACUGCCUACUCCCUCCUCCCCGCGGCCGGUUGUGCUGCCGCGCAGGCCUCACCGCCCCACCGUACUCCCAUCGCUGGCCUAGCCAUCCCUCUACUCACCCACACCUGCUGUUAUUCUCGAGCGACGGCAGACGAACCAGUAAGCCCUCGUACAGUCGUACUCCCCUCCGCAUGGGAAACAACUGCCGAGUCUUCCCUGCCUCCGUGUCGUACCGUUCCUAGGCCUCACCAUCUUCCACCGUCGUGGUGCUCUCGGCGCGGCGUGGUCAACGACCGACUUCCAUCGGAAGAGUACUAUGUGUGGAGACGCUGACAGCAGGAAAACUUGUCUAACUUAUGUCUGUACUCAGAUAUUGUUGCUUCCGCUGACUCUUUUGUAUUCAAGCUGAUGUAUUCAAGCCCUCGAGGCCCCUGGCUUGUAAUAUAAAGCUUGUAUUAUUUUAAUUUAUGUUUAGAGUUGUGUUGUGAUAUCUUCCCGUGAGUCCUUGAUCUUGAUCGUACACAUUUGCGUGUAUGAUUGAAUCGGGGGCGUCACAAGUUGGUAUCAGAGCCGACUGCCUGUAGGUAGCCCCCUUUCCAACUCCUUGGUCGAAGUUGAGUCUAGUUGUCCAAAACUAUUUUACUAACUUGGCUGUGUGGCUUACGGCCCCAUGUUGUCAAUUGGGUGGUAUUAGGAUCUUUUAUUUCUCAUCUAUACUCUCGGACUCUUAUCUCUCUUCUAAUCGGGUUAAACAAUUUUGCUAACUCUGACAUUAGGUUCUCAUAACCACUUCAUCCCGGAGAGCCACUUCAUUCCAUAUGAUCGCCAGCUGCACCAGAAGAUUCCGAAGAUACCCUACAAUGUUCUCUUUGAGACUUUGUGUCCGUCGCUCUUGCAAUUCCCUGGCACCGAUAUAUCCUUAUGUAUAACUACGUACGCUUGCCAUUCUUCAGUCAUUCCAUGUUGCUCUUGUUAUUACAAGAUGCCCCGAAAUACUCUUCGUUGCCCCGAAAAUCCUUUGAGCUUACUGCCUUGUAGUUCUUUACCACAUGAAUACCCCUACGGAUAAUUCCUCGCACUUAUCGAGUAUUCGCUCAUCCCUAGUUGUUCUUGUGUUUCAAAAAAUUCUUUGAAAUACUAUUCGAUCUUCUGAAAAUCCUUAGUAGCCUAUUGCUCUUGUUCUUCCUUACCUGCUUGCAUUUUGGUUAAUUCCAUAUGUCUAGCAAUAUUCAUUAAAAUCCUUUGCGAUUGUCGUCCUUACCCUGUCAAUUCAACAUGUGUGUGAAUGCACGUAAUCAUCAGUUGAUCCUUUUAGAUGAUCUUUCCGGCUCAGACAUCACUCCGGACAUGAGCUGGUUCUCGGCAAACCAAACCUUAAUUGAUUGUCGAUCUAUAUCUAUUCAACUUACUUGUCUUUUGAUUAGAGCAUCUGCUUCCGAUCCCCGAAUUGGAAAUCAUAAUUCCUUUGCAUUUAAGUAUUGGAAUGAUCAGAUAUUUCCAAAAUCUGAUGCCUCUGCAUUAUUUCUUCUUCUGAUUGAAUAUCGAUACUCACAUCAGCUCCGUUGUGGAUCGUCGGUUCCAUUAUUGGAUUAUCAUCCGAUAGUGUCCUUCAUAUUCAAAGAACCUCAUGAAGUUCUUUCCCAGAUACAUAAUGCCUUUGGUAAUUGUAUCCUCUCCUUUUGUCAACCAUGCUCUGCUUUCGAGCUUGUGUUGUUUACUUCUGAAGUUUGUGGUAUAUGCUCCUAAAAUGCCCCUAUGGGUUGAACCUAUGCCAUCCCUAAUCUGUGUGAACCCGAGAGUUUUCACGAGUCAUACUCUUUUGGCGUUUUGCCAGAUAUAAUUUCAACACUAUGACUUCAUCGAAAACAAGAAGUGAAUGGAAGGUUAUGCAUUGAAGAAGUGGGAGUCAACCUUGAACUUGGUGUUCUUGCCCAUGGACCCGAUGUGGAACUUAUCAUGGAAGCUUCUUGUGAUAAUAAUAAUCCCGUUGUUAUAAGUUCAUCUGGUAACUAUGUUUGGUCCUUUGCAACCGUAGUUCUGGCCAUGACUGUUCCCCUUUGAUUCCAUUUCUCGGACAAGUUAAAGCACUUGUCUUCUGCAGAUCAAUGCAUCUUUGCAACCUCUAUCUUGACCUUCCUUCGAGUAUUACCCUCCGAUAUCUCGAGAAUAACAAAGAACGGUGUUGCUUCCUAUGAGUCUUCAUCUGGUAUUGCUCCUCAGCGAUUUCAGAUUGCCCUGGGUUCCGAGUUAUUAGUCACUCCAGAACACCGAUAAGUGAAUCGAUUCCGCACUCCGAUUCAAUAGCCCUAAGUAAUUUUUGUUGCUUACGAGUUUAAUAAUCCUUCAAGUCAUUCCUAGCCUGAUCGGCUACAUCAUGCCAAAUUUUAACUGUGCUACCUGGUUCUUCUUCCCGGAGCACAUUUUUCGGCGAUGAGCUAAGCCUACGUCGAUCUUCCUCAUCAUAUCAUUUCGCCUUGAACAACAAGCUUGAUUUCAAGUUUGUGUCAAAUCCGUGGUUCUCAUAGCCUUUCACUUCAUCCUUCCUUUUGCUUGAUGUCGUUGCUGCUCGAUGGCAUCUUCAUAGAGUCUCUCAACAAAAUUUGUCGUGAUCACCGUCAACACUUUAGCUUCUUCAGAGAUGUCAAUUGAAUUCAUGGCUAGAAAUACCAUCCCUGCCCCUCGAUGGUUUGUGAUAUCAUCGAUGACAUCCUUGACUUCCUGCUAACACAGACCUGGUCGUGUUUGGUUAUUCCUUACGUUCCAAGAUAAUCUUGGAAGUGUUCCUUUGUAUCUUUUGAGAUCUUCAGAUCCAACUCUUACCCGAAACACCAUGUUAUUGCUACCUCGAAGCAUGACUAUGGUACUCCGAAUAUCAACGCGAACAUUUGAAGCGAAAUGCUAAAUGCUUCUUGAUCUAUUAUCCAAACACCGUUGUAUGGGUAAUAUCAUGAUUCUUCCCUCUCCCCAUUGUCUAAAUGCUUUUGAACUUACUGUCCUAUCAUGUAUAUCUUGCUCUACUUGUUCUUCUGAAAGAUAUACUCCUAAUACUUGUGUUUAAACACAUUUUUCUUUCCAUUGGAGUGUUUAAUCCGAUAAUCACAUUUUUCCUUUCCAUUGCUUUGUAUAAUCUUUCUUGUGAUCUAUAUGAUAUAAGCAGUAAUAUUUCCCUGCUUAUGUAAACACCUCGGUGUACAAACUGUCAGUAAGACCCUGUUACUAUUGUGGACGACAUUCCGGUAACCACCGAUGGACGAGAACUUUGCCUAUUGGUCCGCCUUGUUCAACGAGCAGGAGAAUGGUUCUCUUCGUCCCUCGCCCUUGGUACCAACGUUGUUGCCAACAUAACUGACAGGUAUCCUCUAACAUGCCUUGCUAUCAUGACCGUGCAAGAUGUCAGCACCCUUCCUACUUUUUAAACCACGUGAUGGGCCCAUAACCCACCGUUCCACAGGAUUGAAACCUGACUCUCCUGUAAAUCCCUGUUUUACAAAAUUGUUCCUCGCACUUGGCUUCGUAUGUAAAUCACGAGCCACAUUCCUAGCGAUCUAGUCUGGUAUCAGACGCAAUACCUAUUCCCAUUGCUCUGAACCCCUUUCACCCUAUGUUUUAGGCAACAAACAAUUGCCUACCUGGUUGAAGCUUCUUAUUGCACCUCCUUACCUUGCUCUCAACGUCUUUCUUGAAUUUCGACUCGAGAGGUGCCUCUAUGCCAUGUUCACUGAGAUAGCCCCCAGGUACCUAUCUUGUGUUCAGCUCCGUCCUUCCCGAGUCUUUCCCCCUUACUCCACCCGUUAAAUCUCGGGACGAGAUUUCUUGUAGUGGAGGAGAUUUAUAACACCCGAUAAUCAUGCUACAGUAAACUCCUACUAAUGACUGCCAAGUCAUCACAAUUAUUUUGCUAAUCAUCACUUUGUUCCAAAUCAACUUCAUAUUCAUAUUCAAAUUUGCAUGUCAAAUUGUUUUCUUCAAAAAUAAAACAAAAAUGUUGGUUGGGUUGCAGAUAUUCACUAGCUAAUUAUCAUGUAGAAACCAACUUCAUUUGACUCACAGAUAAAUCCCUAGGAAAUUAAUAAAUGGUCCAACAACAGAUAAAAUGGCCUUUUCAAAAUAAAUAAUUAUUUAAACUUUUCCAAUUGAUCCCAAACCUUGUGUGCACCCUUAAUAUAUGUCCUGAUAUUUAUGUACCAAAUACUUUGUAGAAGAAAAGCCAUUUACUAUUUCUAGGAAAAUGCUAACAGUGAAAGAAAAGCAAAAAGUAAAGCAUAAAAGGAGAACACCCCUGUACAUCUGGCCCAUCUAACUAAACAACCAGGCCCCAGCCCACCUCUCGUUUUCCCCUACCUCCCGCUACAGGGAGCAGAGUAGUGCGUGGCGGCCAUCCACGGCGCCAUGGCCGUGGUGGCGGCCAUCGGCGGCCCCCUCUUCCGCCUAUUUAGCCGACCCCGGGCGCCCCCCUCUCCCCCUGGAACCCUAACCCCUAUCCCCUCGCGCCCCCUCUCCCUCUGCUACUCGCGCCCGAUGGCCCUCGCCGUCAUCGUCGCGGCCACCAUCGUCUCCGGCGUGCGGGAGCACGUCCAGGAGGUCCUCCGCGGCCGGAUCCGUCCGUUCCGGGGGCCAGCUCAAGCCGGGACGGUCCGAGUGCUCGGCAUCGAGCCCUUCUCCGCCGCGUACAUCACCAACUCGUCAUCGUUGCCACUGCUCCGCGCCGCCUCUGACCUUCUAACCUCUUCUACGAGAACCAGGGUGAGCUUCUCCCUCGGGUCCUUCUUUUAGCCCUUCGAUUUGGACGCCGUAGGCCGCCAUCUCCGUCGAGCCCGAACCUCCGCGUACGCGUACGUGCGUGCGCUUGCUGUCGCUGUUGCCGGUGCUGCCUGUUGUCGCUGCUGCUGUCCCGUGCUCGUCCGAGCCCCGCGUACGCCUACGCGUGCGUGCGUGCUAUGCUGCUCCUGUGCCGUUGUGUCUGCUGAUGUUUGCUACGGCCGCGUUGCUUGCUACGCUGCUGCUACUAGUGUUGUUGCCGUUCGUACUGCCCACUGGCUAAAUGAUGCUGCUUUGCUGUUCUACACUGCUGCUGCUCUCUUACGCUGCUGCUCUUGUUGCCGCGCUGGUGCUGUUGCUUGCUACUGCAAGCUGGUGCCACUACUUUGCUCUACUGCUAGCAGCCGCGCCGCUCUGCUUGCUGGUGCCGCUGCGUACUGAUGCUGCCGAUACGUGCUACUGCUUGUUCUUGAAGCUGAUUGCUAGUAGGUGCUGUUGCUUACUUGCCGCUGCUACUAGCCCCUGUACAUGUCCGUGUGCGUGGCCGGCUAGGCUAUGUCCAGUAAUGGCCGGCCCUUGUUUAAUUAGGCUAGGUUUAGCUUAGAAUUACUAGUUUAGUGCUCAUUUAGCCUAUUAGCAUAUGACAAGUGGGUCCCAUCUAAUUAGUUUAGAUAAAUCCUUUUGAAAAUUACUAAAAUAGUGACAUGUGGGCCACCACCUCCCCUUUUGACUAGUCAAGUUGACUUGGUCAAUUCGGAUUAAGUUAAUUAUAAUAAUUUUAAAAUAUUGUUAAAAACUUUAGAAAAUCAUAUAAAAUAAUCUGUAACUCGGAUGAAAAUACUUUGUACAUGAAAGUUGCUCAGAACGAUGAGACGGAACCGAAUACGCAGUCCGUUCGUCCGCCACAUGUCCCUAGCAUAGUGAAACUGUAAUCGUUCCCCCUUCGGUCGGUCUGUCCGAAAACACGAAACACCGGGAAUACUUUCCCGGAUGUUUCCCCCUUCGCCGGUAUCACCUAUCCCUGCGUUAGAUCACCCCUGGCUCCGCAUAUUGCCUUGUUAUAUUUUGUGAUGCUUUGUUUUCUUGUAUUUACUGUUUCUUCCCCCCUCUUCUUCUCCGGUAGACCCCGAGAUCGGCGCUAAUGCCAAUGAGUAUGACUACAGUGUUGACGAUCCCUCCUUGCCAGAGCAACCAGUCAAGCCCCCCCUUUGAUCAUCCCGAUAUCGCCCUUUUUCUUUCUCUCAUGCUUGCAUUAGAUUUUGCUACUGUAAUUGUUUGCUCCUAUUUUGACGCAUAGCCUGCUUUUGUAUCUGCUGUUGUACCUUACCUGCUUACCCUAAACUGCUUAGUAUAGGUUGGUUAGUGAUCCAUCAGUGACCCCCACCUUGUCCUUUUUGCCCCUGCUUCAUCAUUGAAGACCCGAUCAACGGGAUCGAAGACCAGACCCUGGCACCGCACAUCACUUCCCCUUAGUUGAUCAACACUACUGGGUUACUAUCGAGUGCCGAGGGUGAGACCUCUACAACACUUCUGAUGUUAACCCUGUAGUGUAGCUAUUCGGUCGUGGUCAUCGAGGGUGAUUCCGCCUUAACCACUUCCGAUACGACUCUUUCGUGCAACCCCUCAAGUGUGAACCUCGGGGGUGAUUCCUCUUACGUUCACCUUGAUGAUUACAUCGAGUGGAAUUCACCGGGGAUGAUUCCUCGGGGUUUCCCCUUGAUGUUUAGACACACAGUUACUAUGAUUACUAUGAUUUUACACUGAACCAUGUUACUAAAGACGGGUCGACCCUGAGGGGUACCCGCGCGAGCAUAAUUGCGAGUGAUGUGGAGACGGGUUGGCCUGGAGGAUACCCGAGAUUUGAAUACGAGGCGUGGCCGGGCAUUCUUAGCCCUUGCCGCAAGUCCUCGAGACAGGGCGACGGGGUCACAUCUUUCGUGAGUCUCUGCUCGUAACCGCACUACCAACACACUAACGGUUUGGAUAUUUGAUCCGAGGGGCCUCUGGCCUGAUAGCACUAACCAUCACGUGGGCAUAGUAUGGGUGUUCUGCGUCGUAUACAUCAGCCGAAGCUUAAUAGACGUCAGCGACUGAGCAGCGCGCGACGGGUUGGACUAGUAUGCACCUGCCUUUUCAAAGGAGGUAGCUAGGUCUGCUCACCGGCCGCGUAUGCAACAUGCAGGAGUUCCCGGGGAGAUGGUCCAUGACCUCUGGGGGCAUAGGUUUAGUCCGGCGUGCUGACCUCUCUAUUAAGCCUAGGUCGGGUUGCGGCGUAUUGUUUGGCCGAGGCCGAGCAUGACCCAGGACUAGGCCUUCUCUCUAUUCUGGCAUUUCUGCAGCCCAGUCCACAUAUAUAGCCUUCCUUUGAUAAUGUUACAUAUGUAGUGUAGAUCCUUGCUUGCGAGUACUUUGGAUGAGUACUCACGGUUGCUUUGCUCCCCCUUUUCCCCCUUUCUUUUUCUUUCCGGUUGAUGCAAUCAGAUGUCGGAGCCCAGGAGCCAGAUGCCACCGUCGGUGCCUACUACUACGUGGAGACCGCUGAUGACCAGGAGUAGUUAGGAGGCUCCCAGGCAGGAGGCCUUGCCUUUUCGAUCGUAGAUGCUUUUGUGCUAGCCUUCUUAAGGCAAAUUUGUCUAACUUAUGUCUGUAUUCAGAUAUUGUUGCUUCCGCUGACUCUUUUGUAUUCAAGCUGAUGUAUUCGAGCCCUCGAAGCCCCUGGCUUGUAAUAUAAAGCUUGUAUUAUUUUAAUUUGUGUCUAGAGUUGUGUUGUGAUAUCUUCCCGUGAGUCCCUGAUCUUGAUCGUACACAUUUGUGUGUAUGAUUAGUGUACGAUUGAAUCAGGAUCGUCACACUAAGGGAACUGUGCGUAUGUGGAUUGUGCCUACACGGUACUAUAGAAAAAAAUCAUGCAUGAUCAGUAUAGAAACAACAACAAAAAGAUGAAGAUGGCACAAAAUAAUUUGAUCUUGAAUGUUCAUGAUAUGCAUUAUGUGACCCAGAACCAUAUAGCAGAAAAAUAGAGGUGUACUAAUGUCAACCCAGGUUAACUGAUGUAGUAGUAGCACACAAAAUAUAUAGCUGCACAAAAUCGCAAGAGCUGUAGACCAAACAACAAAACCAAUGGGCAUAGUGCUGAUAGUACAUGACUCCAGGGAAGUCAAUGAUGCUAGUUUCAGACAUCUUAUAUUCAUUUAUGAAUGUUUGAUUAAUUUCACCAUAAAGCCAGUAGUGCUAACCAUAAAUAAAUGUAAGCCAACUAUACUGAAAUGUGUGAUAAACACUCUAGAAGGACAUGCUGGCUCUGAACUUGCCAUGCCAAAUAUGUAUUAAAUGUCGGUGAAUGUUAAACUGUGCUCAAAAAACAGUACGAGAGCUGCUUAUACUUUUCUCAAUACUUGAUAAACAUAGAGGCGCUGAUUUAUUAUAAUAUCCUAAAGCUGGGGAUUGUCACCAUGUGCAAAGAACAACACAGAACCUUGUAUUAGGGUAAUUGCGAUGUAAAUUGAUUUUGUGUAACUGCGAUGAUAAUUCGAGCGACAAAUGCAAUAUACAAAGAUUCAUUUAGGCAUUUUGGGAAACAUGUGCCAUACACUUGAUUGCAGCAACAUACCUUGGCACUCAAUGGUUCUCAUCGAAGCCAUUAUCCCAUCUAAUCGAGCUCACCAAGAGAGCCUUGAAGUGCUGAUAAUCUCAAACUUGCUCCUCUCAACUUCAGUAAAAGACUUUAAAGUUAUGCAUGCAAUUUCCUAUCAAGUGGUAUUCCCAAUAGAGAAGGCAUCAUACACAACUAUUUAAAAAAGUGAAGGUUACAACAACUUUUAUUUAAACAAAACAUGUUUCAUUCAGCAUCAAGACAUAUCAAGACAUCCGACAUACCCGUGCGUUGCAAUGGAAGAAAUAAUUCCUUGCAUGCCCGUCCGGUCGGUGCUGCCACUUCUUCUCUUCGCCACUGUCACCAAGGAUGGUCAUGUUGUCCACCUGUUCAUGACAAACAUGAUUUGGAACUGGCUAAUAACAUGAUAAAACAUGAAAUCAUACAAAAGCAGUACAGAUUGAAUUUGACAUAAUAAGAUUCAGAUGGUUGCAACUUGAACCCUUGGAGGAAAACAUGGAUGGUCUCCAAUCCAAAAAAGUUCAACAACUUUGUAAACAUUAACAUUGGAGAAUAUCAUGAAAAGCAUGUGCAUGGCGCACAAUGGGAUACGUGAGAAUAAUGGUGCGCAGAAUCUAUUUUGUGCAUAAAUGAGUAAAUAAAUACAUGUUAUAAUUGCUAGAUGAUGAUGUUGUUCAUACCUGAUAGUAUCCCAUGCAUCGCUACUCAUGUGUCCAUCCAUUCUUAAUCAUACAGAAAGAUACAGAAUCUUGGUAGUUCCUACAAUACACAAAGGAUAUAAAAUGGUUCCUUACAGUAAAGAAAGCAAAAGAAAAAUGCAUUUUGGAAAUAAUGUGUGUAGGUACUGUUUCGUACAGAUGGUGCUUAUUAAGUCUUCUGCUUACCCGACAUAUAAGAUCUAUGCUCUUACCAUUAUUAAAAAAAAGGAUAAUACAUAUGCUCUUAGAACUGCUAUAUAUCACCUGGUUCUCUUUCAGCUUACCCCAAGAACAGAGUUAGAACUUUGUAUCUCUAAUUCCUCUACUUCAAAAGCAUUUUAGGUACUUGCAAAACCUACAAGCACUUAUAUAUCAACACUUUUAGUAGUAGAAAAUUGGGUCUUCAAAUAAUAGUAUGUGUAAUCGACUCAUCUCAUGUUGACUACAUCUACAUGGACUAAUCAAAUACUGAUAACCUGUGAAAGACAAUAAGCACCAUAGCAAGAGAUGCAUAUUCAGUUAGGAAUUAACUAUAAAGAAAAGAAAAAAAGAUACAAAUCACGCACCCACAUGAAUCACGCCUAGUAAACAUAAACAUAUCAGCUACACACAUAAAUCAAGCACACAUCAGACACAGCACUGCAGUACCAGUUCGAUACGAAGAUGGGCGACGGCAUCCUCGAAGUAUGGAGACGGGCGAUGACCUCCCUGCACAAGAGGACACGUAGACAGGUCGACCUAUCGUCGAUGUGGUCGACACAGCCGUGAAGAGAAGACGCAGACUCCGUCGGAGCUCGCCAUCUUGCUCGGAACAUGCGAGGAACGCCGCCGCCAUGAACUUGGAGUUCAAGCCCCGCCGCUGGACCUCCUCCCGCGCCUCCUAGAUCGUCUUCAC